GACGAACGCUGGCGGCGUGCUUAAUACAUGCAAGUCGAACGGAAAGGCCCUGCUUUUGUGGGGUGCUCGAGUGGCGAACGGGUGAGUAACACGUGAGUAACCUGCCCUUGACUUUGGGAUAACUUCAGGAAACUGGGGCUAAUACCGGAUAGGAGCUCCUGCUGCAUGGUGGGGGUUGGAAAGUUUCGGCGGUUGGGGAUGGACUCGCGGCUUAUCAGCUUGUUGGUGGGGUAGUGGCUUACCAAGGCUUUGACGGGUAGCCGGCCUGAGAGGGUGACCGGCGACAUUGGGACUGAGAGACGGCCCAGACUCCUACAGGAGGCAGCAGUGGGGAAUAUUGCACAAUGGGCGGAAGCCUGAGGCAGCAACGCCGCGUGCGGGAUGACGGCCUUCGGGUUGUAAACCGCUUUCGCCUGUGACGAAGCGUGAGUGACGGUAAUGGGUAAAGAAGCACCGGCUAACUACGUG
rnacentral:rRNA from 1 species